GGGCCUAUAGCUCAGUUGGUCAGAGCAGCGGACUCAUAAUCCGUUGGUCCUAGGUUCAAAUCCUAGUGGGCCCA
rnacentral:tRNA from 1 species